rnacentral:lncRNA from 1 species
GCCUAUCGGCACGCAUGCGGCAUAGCUUGACAGCUGCGAUCUCAGUACGCAGCACUACGUUUUAAAAAAAAAGGAAUGUGCGGGGCGCUUGGGUGCCAGACUUGCAGACUCCGCUUUCAUGCACGACCUGCAAAAUCCAGAGCCACACGGCAACAGAAGGAAUGAUGAACACCAGCCUCCAGGUAGUUAUUGCUGUGGCCAUUCUGGCGAUGACUAUAGCCUACCACGAGCCCCCCUGUUAUCCAGGAAAGGGAGAAGUGUUGAAGCUGGUUGGAAGCAGCAACUGUGCCGAAAAAAUGUGCCAAAGCAAAACUUCAAGACGGCGUUGCAAGCGGGACACAGCAUGCCUAUGUGUUUGUCCGGAUGGCAAAUACCGGAGACGUAAAGACGACAUGUGCGUCACCCUAGAAAAAUGCAAGGAUACUUUAACCGGGAGUAUAAAAGGACCCUCUUUAAGUCUCCGACAACAAUAAAUCGCACUCUGAAACCCGCAGAACCUGA